CCCUUUUGGGUGCAGAACGCAGGGUACGGAUGUGUUGCCAGUGUGCACACCGAGGCGAGCGUACUGUGCUCAUCUCCCGGUGAGAUGAAUGAGGCGAACAGGACUUGGUAGAGCUGACUUGUCACCUAAGGCACCUGUGGUGAGCAGCCUUGCCCCUGCAGGUGCCAGACCAGCAUGGAUGAGGAAAGAUCAGCCUCACACUCAAAAGCAAUUUGUCUUUGAAAAGCCAUCAGAGGUGGAGCGCAGAGUUCCUGAGGCAGGUGUGAUAGACAAGCCUGGUGUGUAUGAGCUCAGCAAAGGACCAACUGGCAUUUCUAGGUGAGUGGCUGAAACUUGUUACUUGCUUUUGCAGAGUGAUGUGGUGAUACUCAGAUUUCUGAAGCCCAGUCUCUGCAGAGCAUUCUGACUCUAGCAGCUGCACACUGCCCUUCCUGUGUAUCAUCUGUUUAGAGUACUUCUGGAAAUACUUUGAGUAUCAGGUAGCAGAGAUUUACGUGGUUCCGAGCAGCACUGAAGAGAUGAAAAAUAAACCUCUUGACAUCUAGUGGGUACUGCAUCUGGUGUGCUUGCCUGGCAUGAGGACA